rnacentral:rRNA from 1 species
AUACAGAGGGUGCAAGCGUUAAUCGGAAUUACUGGGCGUAAAGCGCGCGGAGGUGGUUUGGUCAGUCAGAUGUGAAAGCCCUGGGCUCAACCUGGGAACUGCAUUUGAUACUGCCAAGCUCGAGUAUAGUAGAGGGAAGUGGAAUUCCACAUGUAGCGGUGAAAUGCGUAGAUAUGUGGAGGAACAUCAGUGGCGAAGGCGGCUUCCUGGACUAAUACUGACACUGAGGUGCGAAAGCGUGGGGAGCGAACAGGAUUAGAAACCCCAGUAGUCC